AUAACUUUUUGUUAGUUACACAUACAUUAUGGCCUCAUGAAUCAUGAUGUGAUAAUCAAAUAAGAAUCUAGAUUGUAUAUUCUAUUUUGUUGCUUCAAAUCAUUAAAUAAGAAUCUCGAUGAGUUUCACGUAGUUAGAUCUUCCAAGGACUAAGGGAAAUUAAUAAAAUUAGUGAACAAACAACAUCGUUGCUUUAGGAGGAGAAGCACACUAGUAUCUUAAAAUUAAAAAAAGAAGGAUAACACGUACGAAAACAUAUACGACGACGGAGAAAGAGGAGAAACUCUUACUGCGGCAACAGAAGGACAAAUGUGGCAAUGACGAAAGGGUUUCUCCCCGAGAGAGAAUUUCUCUUUCAGGUUUUCUACUUCAAAACAGCAUUGAUGUGAAUUGUGGAUGGCGUGACCUACGGAAGGAAUGUGGAGACCCCAUGGGAUGGAGACAUUUUGGAUGGGGAGAAAUUGAGGAGGAGAUGCAUCAAUUAUUU
rnacentral:lncRNA from 1 species